AAAAUGGUGAUUAUUAGCCAGGUCACACUAUUAUAAAAACAUAGAAGAGUGUCAUUUACAGCUGGUGUGGCCCUGUGGUGGUAUAACCCAGACUUCAAGCACAGGUAAAGAUCAGACAGACACUGACGUCCCGAAUCUGAUAGAGAAAUGAAGAAUUCACAGCCUGAUCGUAACUUCAAGCCAAGAAAUAAAAAAAGGAAGAAAAAAUCAAGAAGCUCAGAACAGAACUUCAUCAAUACUGACCACAGGAGCAUGGACCAUCAGGCUGCUUGUAGACUUCAGGAUCUUUUCAACCAGUCCUACAGGCAGAUAGAGGGCCAUCCCCACCACAUGUUCUACCACAACCAUCUCUUCCUAAAGGAUUUUUUACUACUUUUCCGACUCCUUUACAUGAACUAAGUAGGAAACCAUCAUCAUGACCAUCACCUUUGCAGACCUCCUCUACUACCACCUUUGUUAAGAGACCUACUCUCCAGGAUCCCCACCUGCUGUAUUAUGCAGUGAAAUAGAAAUAAAUGUGUAAGCCUCAAUUCUAUGUGUUGAUUCUUGAACUACACGAGAACUCUCUUUGAAGAGAAUCAACUCAUCAAGGCAAAACUUUGAAUAGUUUUUGGUGAUUUGGGGCCACUGGUGAUUAUUAAUGAGUGAAAAGUGAUUAGCUGGCUGGUCACGGUGGCUCACACCUAUAAUCUCAGCACUUUGGGAGGACAAGGCAGGUGGAUCACCUGAGGCCAGGAUUUGGAGACCAGCCUGGGCAGGAUGGUGAAAGCCCAUCUCUACUAAAAAUACACAAAUUAGCCUUGCAUGGUGGAGGGCGCCUGUAAUCCCAGCUACCUAGGAGGCUGAGGCAGGAGAAUCACUUGAACCCGGGAGGCAGAGGUUGCAAUGAGCCAAGAUCAUGCCACUGCACUCCACCACAGAGCAAGAUUCCAUCUCAACAACAACAACAAAAGUAAAAGAAAACUGAUUAGCCAUGUAUAAGUAUUGUAUAAUGUUAGAGAAUAUGACUGCUUAUUUUUUAUUUCC